CUAUUUUUCACAAAAGUGACCUUUUUUUUCCCACAAAAACAGUAUCAAAAUAAUAAAAAAAAAAAAACACAAAAUGCAAAAGUUAACCCAAUGGCUCUACUACUUUCAUCCCGUAUCUUUAUCUCUCCUCAAAACUAAACAUUUCCACCAUUAACAAACCUUCAAAUUCUCUCUCCGCUAACAACGCCGAUAGCGCUGAAACCAUCGCCGAUUCCACCAUUUUCAACCAUCUCACUGAGCAAAGCGACGAUGACGAUGAUUCUUUCUUCGAAUUAGAGCUCACUUCACCUUCUUCUGACUUCAAAUCUUCUCUCUCCACUCCUUGCUCAAAAAAUUCAGUAGAAAACAUCUAUAAUUGUAUAGAAGAGAAGGAAUCUGAGUUGAAAAUCAAAUUAAAUCUCAAAAAUUAAGGGAAAACAAGAUGAAAAUGGAAGAGAAAGAAAGAGAAAGUAGAGUAGAGCCCUUUCCCUAAAUAAUGUUGGGAAAACACACAAUUCCCAAAUUACCGCUAAUCUUUUUUUAAUUCCCACUGUACCGUCCACGUCAGCGGUUCAGUUGGAAUUUUUUUAAAAACCGGUUUAUUAAAAAACCGUUACUUAAAGUAGCGGUAUACGAUUAAAAACCGCUACUUGAAAUAGCGGUUUAUUUAGAGAAACCGCUACUUCAAGUAGCGGUUUGUAUUUACUAAGUAUUUUUUUAACAAAAUCACGUCUCUUUUCCCUUGUAAAAUAAAUCAACUGAAUCAUCUCCAAAAAAAAAAAAAAAAAAAAAAAAGUCGACACUCCUCACCAUCAUCAAUCCUCGCGCCGGAAGUUGUAAUCGCCGCCGUCACCGACUUGCUCACGGUUGUUUGCGGACACUAUGGCAGAGAAUUAGUGGAAUUGUUGUUGGGUUUGCUGAAUUACUGGUCCCAUGGAUCCGGUGAUUCGACCAGGCCCAAUUGAUUCAUCUGUUCUACGGUUGCAAACUUCCCAUAGGAGUCAUGAUGUUUGGAGUGGUGUGGCUGAUAGAGUUUUGUCAGUUAGGGAGCAUGUGGUCAGUUUGGGACGUGAGUUGAGGGUAGAGGGUGGAGUACUAGACUAUGUGAAGCGCAUUGGGUUUUACGGUGUGCAUAGAGUAGCAGGUGGAGGGUUUUUGCUUGACCGUUCUCUUCUCACUGCGUUGGUUGAGAGGUGGAGGCAAGAGACACAUACUUUCCAUCUUGUGUUGACUCCUUGGCGUGCAGUUGGCUACGUGUACAUCUUUCGUGUGCGCAUACUGCUUCUGGACUCUCAUACUAUCGAGAUGCGUUUGACCAUCAACAAGAGGACCAGAUGAUUUGGCAGCCAUAUACCGAGGUGGUUAUGGAGCGACUUCCAGAGGUUUGUCGCUCUUUGUCGCUCUGACAUUCACAUUUGGCGUACACGCGCCCCUCUUAUUUGCUUUGACGUCGUUGAGUUCCACCUCCCAGAUCGAGUCAUGCGUUAGUUCGGGUUAGAGCAGCCGAUCCCAAAGGCAGUAGACACGGACGUUGCUCUACACAAGAAGGAUCGAAGGGGACAGCGUAACUGGGAGAUUCAACAUUCGGACCAUGUACAUGACUGGGGUCGACGAGAGGCAUUAGUAGUCCAGGGUAACACGUUCACUGGGACUUCUUCACUAGUCAUGACAGAGUACAUGGCUUGGUACCGUCGCAUCACGAGGUCGAUCAUUACUCCACCUUCGCAGCCACGCCCCCCAAGUCAUUACCAGCCAUCUAGCUCUGACCUAGUACUUGCACAUGCAGUUGCUGAUUUGCACGCGAAGCUAUCGGGAGCUACUUAGACCAUCUCUGAUUUGCCACCAGACAAGGCUCUACCAUUUGCCAUUCAAAUGAUACAAAGUCUUACAUCAUUUUGUGGGCAGACCUUGUCUAGGGUGGGGGCAUUCACACCUUAUUGAGCAGCCUCGAGUGUCCACCUCGCUAUCUUCUUCUGCUUCUAUUGUGCACACUCGGCCGAUUAGACCACCAUCCCAUCGUGGUGGUCAUUCAUCACGUGCCUUUCGUCCACCGACUCCCAUUCGCUCUCCCUUGCAUGCUCCUUCCCCCUCUCCCUUACACGGUCCUUCUCCCUCUCCUACAGUUUGACAUCCAGUUGUCACUUCUGCUCCACUCUUUCCACCUCCCCCACCCUCUCCUCCUCCUCAAACUCUACUUGUUUCUCCUCAACAUACCAUCGUCACAUCUCCUCCACUAGUGCAACACCAGUAUCAAAGAGUUCGAUGGCGUGGAAAUAGUAGGUCUCAGCUUGGAGUUGGAGUUGGCCUACAUGAUAUUCCAGAGGACGAGACAACUACAUCACCUUCAUCAUCACUUCAUGGGAAGAAGCAACGUACGAGCUAGGUGUAUAUUUUGGUACCAUUGACAUAUGCUAUUUUGCAAAUGAUUAGUAUUUUAGACUUUGUUUAUAAUUAAUAUUUGAUAAGUAUUUGACAUUGCUCUUAGAUUACCUUAAUACAAUUUUGACUUCCAUGGAUUAGAAUGUUUAAGUAAGUUGUUAUUUGUGGUGGUUGUGUAGAAGAUAUGGUAUAUGGACUUUGCAGGCUGAAAA